UACGGAGGUGGCAAGCGUUGCUCGGAUUCACUGGGUGUAAAGGGCGCGUAGGCGGUCCGGUAAGUCCUGCCUGAAAUUUCCUGGCUCAACCAGGGAACGCGGUAGGAAACUGCCAGACUAGAGGACGGGAGAGGUGAGUGGAAUUCCCGGUGUAAGGGUGAAAUCUGUAGAUAUCGGGAGGAACACCAGUGGCGAAGGCGGCUCACUGGCCCGUUUCUGACGCUGAAGUGCGAAAGCGUGGGGAGCAAACAGG
rnacentral:misc_RNA from 1 species